AACAUCGCGCACCUGCGGGAACCUGCGGAAGGAUCAUUACAGAGUUGCAAAACUCCCUAAACCAUUGUGAACGUUACCUAAACCGUUGCUUCGGCGGGCGGCCCGGGUCCUUCCCGGCGCCCAUCGGCCCUCGCGGGCGCCCGCCGGAGGUAAACCAAACUAUUGCAUUGUAUGGCCUCUCUGAGUCUUCUGUACUGAAUAAGUCAGAACUUUUAACAACGGAUCUCAGAUCGGAAGAGC
rnacentral:misc_RNA from 1 species